UCUAAAAUGGCAGAUAGAUGUGUAGGAUUUAAGCUCCUAUUAGGAAGGGCUCUUCUUUUAGAA
rnacentral:tRNA from 1 species